rnacentral:rRNA from 1 species
CAGUCGCCGCGGGAAUACAGAGGGUGCGAGCGUUAAUCGGAUUUACUGGGCGUAAAGCGUGCGUAGGCGGCUUCUUAAGUCGGAUGUGAAAUCCCUGAGCUUAACUUAGGAAUUGCAUUCGAUACUUGGAAGCUAGAGUAUGGGAGAGGAUGGUAGAAUUCCAGGUGUAGCGGUGAAAUGCGUAGAGAUCUGGAGGAAUACCGGUGGCGAAGGCGGCCCCCUGGACAAAGACUGACGCUCAGGUGCGAAAGCGUGGGGAGCAAACAGGAUUAGAUACCCCCGUAGUCCCUGUCUCUUAUAC